AAACUUAAAGGAAUUGACGGAAGGGCACCACCAGGAGUGGAGCCUGCGGCUUAAUUUGACUCAACACGGGGAAACUCACCAGGUCCAGACACAAUAAGGAUUGACAGAUUGAGAGCUCUUUCUUGAUUUUGUGGGUGGUGGUGCAUGGCCGUUCUUAGUUGGUGGAGUGAUUUGUCCGCUUAAUUGCGAUAACGAACGAGACCUUAACCUACUAAAUAGUGCUGCUAGCUUUUGCUGGUAUAGUCACUUCUUAGAGGGACUAUCGAUUUCAAGUCGAUGGAAGUUUGAGGCAAUAACAGGUCUGUGAUGCCCUUAG
rnacentral:rRNA from 1 species